rnacentral:rRNA from 1 species
UACGUAGGGAGCAAGCGUUGUCCGGAAUUACUGGGCGUAAAGGGUGCGUAGGCGGUUUGGAAAGUCAGAUGUGAAAUCCCCGGGCUUAACUCGGGUGUUGCAUUUGAAACUUCCAGACUUGAGUGCAGGAGAGGAAAGCGGAAUUCCUAGUGUAGCGGUGAAAUGCGUAGAUAUUAGGAGGAACACCAGUGGCGAAGGCGGCUUUCUGGACUGUAACUGACGCUGAGGCACGAAAGCGUGGGGAGCAAACAGG